rnacentral:rRNA from 1 species
UACGGGGGGGGCAAGCGUUGUUCGGAAUUACUGGGCGUAAAGGGCUCGUAGGCGGCCUUCUUAGUCGGACGUGAAAUCCCCAGGCUUAACUUGGGAACUGCGUCCGAUACUGGGAGGCUUGAGUGCGGGAGAGGGAUGUGGAAUUCCAGGUGUAGCGGUGAAAUGCGUAGAUAUCUGGAGGAACACCGGUGGCGAAGGCGGCAUCCUGGACCGACACUGACGCUGAGGCGCGAAAGCUAGGGGAGCAAACGGG